rnacentral:rRNA from 1 species
CGGACAACGCUGGCGGCGUGGAUUAGGCAUGCAAGUCGGACGGUAGGGCUUUAUCGUAAGAUAGAGUUUGAGAGUGGCGAACGGGUGAGUAACACGUAGGAAUCUACCCUUAAGACGGGGACAACCCAGGGAAACUUGGGCUAAUACCGGAUGAGAGUGCGAGAGAUUGCAUUUAAAAGGACGGCGAAAGUUGUCGCUUAGGGAUGAGCCUGCGGUCUAUUAGUUAGUUGGUGAGGUAAGAGCUCACCAAGGCGAUGAUAGAUAGGCGGCCUUAACGGGUGGUCGCCCACACUGGGAUUGAGAUACGGCCCAGACUCCUACGGGAGGCAGCAGUGGGGAAUCUUCCGCAAUGGGCGCAAGCCUGACGGAGCAACGCCGCGUGGGUGAAGAAGGCCUUCGGGUUGUAAACUGCUUUUGUACGGAACGAAAAGCCUUCUUCUAAUACAGGAGGGUCAUGACGGUACCGUAAGAAUAAGCACCGGCUAACUACGUG